rnacentral:rRNA from 2 species
CUGGCGGCGUGCUUAACACAUGCAAGUCGAACGGAGCUCAAAUGCGGAUCCCCUUCGGGGGUGAAACAUCUGGAGCUUAGCGGCGGACGGGUGCGUAACGCGUGGGUAAUCUGCCCUUGUCACCGGGAUAACACAUCGAAAGGUGUGCUAAUACCGGAUGAAAUACAGACCUGGCAUCGGGACUGUAUCAAAGUCAUGCGGACAAGGAUGAGCCUGGGUCUGAUUAGCUUGUUGGUGGGGUAAAAGCCUACCAAGGCGACGAUCAGUAGCCGACCUGAGAGGGUGAUCGGCCACACUGGAACUGAGACACGGUCCAGACUCCUACGGGAGGCAGCAGUG